UACGAAGGGGGCUAGCGUUGUUCGGAAUUACUGGGCGUAAAGCGUGCGCAGGCGGCUUCUCAAGUCAGGGGUGAAAGCCCAGAGCUCAACUCUGGAAUUGCCUUUGAGACUGAGUGGCUUGAGUACGAGAGAGGUGAGUGGAAUUCCCAGUGUAGAGGUGAAAUUCGUAGAUAUUGGGAAGAACACCGGUGGCGAAGGCGGCUCACUGGCUCGUAACUGACGCUCAUGCACGACAGCGGGGGGAUCAAACAGG
rnacentral:rRNA from 1 species